rnacentral:pre_miRNA from 1 species
UUAGCUCAUAUUUGUAUGGAAUGGGAUCGUUUGCCUGCGUUUGCCGCCAGGGGCGCUGUUCCAACUGCAUACAAAAUUGGGUUA